rnacentral:lncRNA from 10 species
CCCUGAAGAAGCAUAGUCAGUUUUCUCACAUACAGACUGUUUCUAAACAAUAAGAUUAUUUUGGUUUCUCCAAGUUAUAGUUAUCUAAAAUUUGAGUACAUAUACAUACAUACACAUAUACAUACAUAUAUGUAUAUAUAUAUAUGUGUGUGUGUGUGUGUGUGUGUGUGUGUGUGUGUUUUGGAAAUAUUUUAUAGAUUUUUCUCACCAGGGGCCCUUGAUGAGAUGGAAUAAACAAUGAAAAAGUAGUCAGGCAGCCUGGGAUGCAGUCUUGAUUCAGCCCCUACUAGAAUGACAUCCUGGGGUCUUUACUGUUCCUAAUGAGCUCUUAAUGAGCUGUCAAUUGCUUAUGCAAAUAGAGAAGGAAACAGACGCUGAGGAGUUGAUACCUACUCAGUUAAAAUAUGACACCGCCUAACCUCUCAAAGUUAUUAAAAAUGGAAAUUGCUCUAACUUAAUAACCGGCCUUGACC